CUGAUCAAACAUAAAUAUUACUUGAUCAGUAUAAACCUUUUUUCUAAUUGGAGAAUGAAAAUUGUUUGCUUAUCUACAAUAUCACUUAUCCUGCAACAAGCAUAUGCUAGAAAGGAGAUGCGAAUUUGAGAUCUAAUUGUUACAAAUCAUUGGAGAAAUUGAGGCAAAAGUAUGUGCUUUACGACAAGGAAUAAACUACUGGGUAUUCUUAUUAGUGAAGAAGAUGCAUUAAUUUUGCAGGUUUGACCUCUUAAGUGGAUCGCUUGUGUUUGAAAUCAGCAAUCCUAUUUUAGUUGAAACGAACAUGGAUACAAUAGUAUAUUACUAUUCAAGACGAAAAAAAAAGAAUCACAUGUCAUAAUUGAUAUCUGAAUAAUCAAUAUCCUGAAUGUUUGAUGUUGGGACUUCAUAUGCAUCCAAUGUGAACAAAUAUGUUUUGCUAUGUAACAAAACUUGUACAUGCUAUCGUAGAGAAAUACAUGACAAAUGCAAAGGCCCGACGAGUCUGUCUACUAUGUUAGAACAGAGUUAUAUACCUGUAAUAGUACUAAUCAAGUUGUUCAUGUAGGUGUACCUGGGCGAGCAGUAUGUGAAUAGCUCCACGCUAUUAGAUGUUACCUUUCUAGUUGAAGGCAAGUGCUUUUAUGCACACAGAAUUGCUCUGCUUGCUUCUUCGGAUGCAUUUUGUGCAAUGUUUGAUGGUGUCUACCGGUGCUCAUAUAGAUACUUGCCUAUUGACAACUUCAACUUGAAAUGCUUGUCAGGUAGGCUGUACCUAAAUGUUUCAAAUUUUCUAUUGCACUAACCUUGUUUGUGCUGAAAUUUAGAUUGAUGAUUUUAUUUAUUUUCUAAACAGUAAUAAAAACAUUGAUAUACUUGGAGAAAUAUAUAUUCAAGUGCUUAAUGAUCCAUUU